rnacentral:rRNA from 1 species
UACGUAGGGUGCGAGCGUUAAUCGGAAUUACUGGGCGUAAAGCGUGCGCAGGCGGUCUGUUAAGACCGAUGUGAAAUCCCCGGGCUUAACCUGGGAACUGCAUUGGUGACUGGCAGGCUUUGAGUGUGGCAGAGGGGGGUAGAAUUCCACGUGUAGCAGUGAAAUGCGUAGAGAUGUGGAGGAAUACCGAUGGCGAAGGCAGCCCCCUGGGCCAACACUGACGCUCAUGCACGAAAGCGUGGGGAGCGAACCGG